AUACGUAGGUGACAAGCGUUAUCCGGAUUUACUGGGCGUAAAGGGCGUGUAGGCGGUCUUGCAAGUCAGAAGUGAAAUUCCUGAGCUCAACUCGGGCGCUGCUUCUGAAACUGCAGGACUUGAGUGCUGGAGGGGAUAGCGGAAUUCCUAGUGGAGCGGUAAAAUGCGCAGAUAUUAGGAAGAACACCGGUGGCGAAGGCGGCUAUCUGGACAGUAACUGACGCUGAGGCGCGAAAGCGUGGGGAGCAAACAGGAGUAGAUACCCUGGUAGUCCACGCCGUAAACGAUGAGCACUAAGUGUCGGAUGAAUUUUCGGCGCUGCAGUUAACACAAUAAGUGCUCCGCCUGGGGAGUACGGUCGCAAGACUGAAACUCAAAUGAAUUGACGGGG
rnacentral:rRNA from 1 species